UGUAGCUGGGCAAAGAGACCCCUUGUUGGUGGUGGUAUUCUUUCAUCAGUCAGGGGCAGAGCAGUUGGCAAUCCUUAGUUCAUCCUAGCUUGAUGCCUUGCUUGAUGGCUGAAACUAUCUUAUUCCUAGGACUCAUAA